GCCUCUAAUGAAGCCUACAUUGGUAGGAACAUCUGAGAGUGUUGAUGAAUCCCAACAGCUCUGAUGGA